rnacentral:rRNA from 1 species
AGUGAACGCUGGCGGUAGGCCUAACACAUGCAAGUCGAACGGCAGCACAGUAAGAGCUUGCUCUUACGGGUGGCGAGUGGCGGACGGGUGAGGAAUACAUCGGAAUCUACUUUUUCGUGGGGGAUAACGUAGGGAAACUUACGCUAAUACCGCAUACGACCUACGGGUGAAAGCAGGGGAUCUUCGGACCUUGCGCGAUUGAAUGAGCCGAUGUCGGAUUAGCUAGUUGGCGGGGUAAAGGCCCACCAAGGCGACGAUCCGUAGCUGGUCUGAGAGGAUGAUCAGCCACACUGGAACUGAGACACGACCCAGACUCCUACGGGAGGCAGCAGUGGGGAAGAUUGGACAAUGGGCGCAAGCCUGAUCCAGCCAUACCGCGUGGGUGAAGAAGGCCUUCGGGUUGUAAAGCCCUUUUGUUGGGAAAGAAAAGCAGCAGGUUAAUACCCCGCUGUUCUGACGGUACCCAAAGAAUAAGCACCGGCUAACUUCGU